rnacentral:lncRNA from 1 species
UGGCUUUAUGCUUGUAGCAACUGGACUACAAUUUGCCCUUCUAUUUAGACGAUGCUUGGGUAUCAGAUGGAAAGGCACUGCCUUGCCAUGGGCACCUACCAGGCAAGGUGCCAAAGAUAACAAAUGAAAAAACAGAACCCUGAUUUCUCUGGGCUCUUAGAAGUCGCCCCGGCUCAGUGUUUGCCUCUGCCUGGCACAGACUCUGGGCUUUGUCGUUUGGUUCUUGACUAUACUUAUUCAAAAUGGGGUUUUGUUUUGUUUUGUUUGUUUUGUUUUGUUUUAUGAGCCAGGUGAUGACGGUGCACACCUUUAAUCCUAGCACUUGGGAGGCAGAUGCAGACAGAGGCAGAGGCAGAGGCAGAGGCAGAGGCAGGCAGAACUCUUACAGGCCAGCCUAGUCUACAAAGUGAGUUCCAGGAUAGCCAUGGCUACACACACACACACACACAACCACAAAUCAACAGCAACAACAAUAACAAAACACAUGCUCAUACAAACUUUUUUUUUUAAAGAAUCCUAAGCAAAAAUGCCUUUCUUUUCUCUGUCUGUGGCUAGUCCACCCUGGAGGAUAAGACUUCUGACAGGAACGAUACACGCACGUAGCUGGGCUGAGGAGUUAGGUUGUUCUUGCUUUGUUUUCGUAUUACAGUUUCGGUUAUAGGUUAGUCUUGCCCAAAUACAGCAAAGCCCAAGUAUCUAAAUGGCAUCCUUUUAUGUGUAAAACUAUAGAUGUCUUUCAAACCUUACUUCCGGACAGCAACUGUGUAAGCUAAGGCUAUGGAAUACUGAAAACAGUGGUGGAAAUGUAUAAUUCUUGCCCUUAUUCUGAGUUUUUCAAUGCAAAGCAUGUUGUAUAGUUCUGAAAACACUUGCAGUGUUUUUGUUUCUGUGAGCUUAUUGUUCUGAGAGAGCAGAUUAAUAACUGUAGUACAAACCAUGACUUCCUAUCAAAGAGAGACCAGAGAAUAGAAAAAAAUAUGUGAAGCCGUCAGAUUAACUCAUGUGAAAAUACUCUAUUUUGAUCACCCGGACUCUUCUGAUUAAAGCCACCAGGGCAUGUAACUUUAAAAACAAGACAGUGCCUCACAGUGCAUAGUCCUGGUCUGAUUGCAAAUGUAGGUCGUCAGCUGUUGUAACUAGAAACACCUGCAUGCAGAGACCCAGGCUACCUUCUCCACUGUUGGGGGCACACUCUAUAGUCACAGUGAAUCCGGAAGUUCCUAAUGUGCGUAUCCUUUGGGAGUUUUUUAGCUGUCGGCCCAUUAUGGGGGCACACUAGUUCAAGAUUAGUGCUUCAGAGUUCUAAUCCUAUCAUCACUCUGAGGAGCUGCAUCACUGAGGCAGGGUGGCCUUUCUCAGUGGAGCCUGGCCCCCAUGAAGCACCGUCCUGUCCAAUGGUUCCGGGAAACACCAUGAGCCUCUCCAAUGCUUUGAAAAGCACUACGCAUCUGUGGAGAUAAUGAUCUUGCUCCCCCCACCCCGUUAUUCUUGGUAGUGAGCACCACAACCACAAGACACAUAAACAACCCCGGGAAGGAUUGGGUUGUCCAGAUAUGUAACAUGACAAGAGCAGUUAACUCUUACUUUACAUCUGUGUGCUUAAAGUUCUUACAGUGACCCUGUCAGGUUCCUGGGAGAAAAGAUAACGUUCCUUCCAGGGGACUGGGGCGUCUGCAGAGGCCAGGGCUGGUUUUGACUGUGUGGAAAUCGCUGUGUUGCUGUCAGGACCUGUUCUUUGUUCCUAUUGCUCAAUGUUCCUGUUUUGGGUGAUCGUGUAUAAAUGUACACCUGCGUUAUUUUUGCUAUGCUGCUUAAAGUAUUCCUCCAUAUAAGUCUGACUGUAUACUUUGCCUAAGUCUUUCAAAAAUAAAAUUUAUGUAAAUGUCUAUUUUAUAUAAAACAUGGUAAAAUAAGAA